UCAUAAAAGCUGCCAUCUGACAAAAUAAUAAGCUAGUUAGUUAGAUUAAAAAUGAGAACGCUAUCAAGACUGGCAUUACUGUUUCUCGCUCUCAUAUCUUUAUUUCCAAAGCGCUACGAUUUUCAAUCUGACCUAUCUCAAAGAUUUCGACCGGCUUGUUGUAGAAUUGGGUGUUUUCAUCCAAACUGCAAUAUUCCACCACGAUAGGAUGAGGAUGUGUUAAAAAUACAUAAGAUUUUAGAAUUUAUUUGAUUAAAAUGAUGAACAUUUA